rnacentral:rRNA from 1 species
AGAAUCAACGCUGGCGGCGUGCCUAACACAUGCAAGUCGAACGAGAAAGUGGAGCAAUCCAUUAGUAAAGUGGCGCACGGGUGAGUAACACGUGACUAACCUACCUUUUAGUGGGGGAUAACCUAGGGAAACCUGGACUAAUACCGCAUAAUACCCACGGGUCAAAGCAGCAAUGCGCUGAAAGAGGGGGUCGCGGUCGAUUAGUUAGUUGGCAGGGUAAUGGCCUACCAAGACUGUGAUCGAUAUCCGGCCUGAGAGGGCGCACGGACACACUGGAACUGAAACACGGUCCAGACUCCUACGGGAGGCAGCAGUGGGAAUUUUGCGCAAUGGGGGAAACCCUGACGCAGCAACGCCGCGUGGAGGAUGAAGUCCCUUGGGACGUAAACUCCUUUCGAUCGGGACGAUAAUGACGGUACCGGAAGAAGAAGCCCCGGCUAACUUCGUGCCAGCAGCCGC